rnacentral:rRNA from 1 species
UACGAAGGGAGCUAGCGUUGUUCGGAAUCACUGGGCGUAAAGCGCACGUAGGCGGACUUGUCAGUCAGGGGUGAAAUCCCGGGGCUCAACCUCGGAACUGCCUCUGAUACAGCAAGUCUUGAGUCCGGAAGAGGUGGGUGGAAUUCCUAGUGUAGAGGUGAAAUUCGUAGAUAUUAGGAAGAACACCGGUGGCGAAGGCGGCCCACUGGUCCGGUACUGACGCUGAGGUGCGAAAGCGUGGGGAGCGAACAGG